CUAACACAUAUUAAGAGAACGCGUCUUUGGAUCGUGGAUUGAAUCCACGCCUCCCCGAGCGAGCAGGCAGGAGGCGGCGCUCUCCCCGCUGGCGGCGCGACCCGGAGGUGACGACCGCGAGCCUGCGCGACGACCUCUUCGACGGCGGCUGCCUACUCCGGUGGCAACCUUCUCGCCGGAGAAGACGAACCUCUGCCAUCCUGGGAUCCUGUACCCUCCCCAAGAGGGUGGUGUUUAGGAUCAAGGGGAAAAAAAAGGUGGCAAAAAUCAGAAUUGAAGUAGACUGGCAUCAGAUUUCUUUGCUAAGCUCCCAAAGCAGAAGCGGCAACCUGUAUUCUUAUGUGAAGAAGAAUUUCUAUAACUAAUUUUCCCCUAUCUAUAAUCUUCAAUUUGGGAUUAAAGCAAUGCCGUGUGAUCAAAUCUGUCAGAUCUUCAACCUGUUAUUGCUGUAGCACUUUGAACAAUUUCUGCUUGCUGGCAGAUUGGUUUUAUGUACUUCAGUAUGUAUGGUUAGAGAAUGGAGUGGAAACAUCAGUACAUGUUUUGUUGAAAUCUCAGUAGUCAGUACAUUAGUGCUGUGAAAGAUUGUUACUGUAAUAUGUUCCUGGUGCUCGUAGCUGAACUGUUCUUCAGUUCAGUCAGUUUCAUUUGCUGUUGUCUGAAGUACUGAACUUGCUUGUAUAUAUGUGAAUUUUCAGUCAGUUACUCAGUUUCA